UCUUUCCAUUUUUUUUUACCCGUUCGGCGGUUGAGCUUUGCAACGUAGAUUUUCCCUAGUUGCUCCCUUAGGAAUUUUUGCAAUUUGUACUAAUUUUUUGCAUCUUUUUGUAGGCGAGAUGGUGGGAUCUGAUGUGGAGCGUCGAGAUGGCACCGUCGGGAGCGUCGAGAGGGAGGCUUCCCAUGGGAGCGGAGCCGAGGCACGGACGUCGGGGGGCAAGCCACGGAGGUCGAAGAAGGUC
rnacentral:lncRNA from 1 species